rnacentral:tRNA from 1 species
GCCUGGGUGGCUCAGUCAGUUAAGCGUCCGACUUCAGCUCAGGUCACAUCGUGGUUUGUGGGUUUGAGCCCCGCCUCAGGCU